UACGUAGGGGGCAAGCGUUGUCCGGAUUUAUUGGGCGUAAAGAGCGUGUAGGCGGCCAGACAGGUCCGUUGUGAAAACUCGAGGCUCAACCUCGAGACGCCGAUGGAAACCGUCUGGCUAGAGUCCGGAAGAGGAGAGUGGAAUUCCUGGUGUAGCGGUGAAAUGCGCAGAUAUCAAGAGGAACACCCGUGGCGAAGGCGGUUCUCUGGGACGGUACUGACGCUGAGACGCGAAAGCGUGGGGAGCGAACAGG
rnacentral:rRNA from 1 species